rnacentral:ncRNA from 2 species
UUGAAAAGCUAGGGGAGCCUUCGGGCUGAGAAAAUAUUGAUUUGACCCUUGUACCUGAUGCGGGUAAUGCCGUCGUAGGAAAGCUUCACGAAUCCGUU